UACGUAGGGUGCAAGCGUUGUCCGGAAUUAUUGGGCGUAAAGAGCGUGUAGGCGGCUUAAUUAGUCUGCUGUGAAAGUCCAGGGCUCAACCCUGGAAUGCCGGUGGAUACUGUCAAGCUAGAGUCUGGAAGGGGCGAGUGGAAUUCCUGGUGUAGCGGUGAAAUGCGCAGAUAUCAGGAGGAACACCAAUGGCGAAAGCACUCUGCUGGGCCGACACUGACACUGAGAGACGAAAGCUAGGGGAGCGAAUGGG
rnacentral:rRNA from 1 species